GUAGCUAAGUUAGUAAAGCAUUUAUCUAGCGUAUAAGAGUCGUGAGUUCAAAUCUCACC
rnacentral:tRNA from 1 species